rnacentral:rRNA from 1 species
UACGAAGGGGGGCUAGCGUUGUUCGGAAUUACUGGGCGUAAAGCGCACGUAGGCGGGUUAUUAAGUCAGGGGGUGAAAUCCCCAGAGCUCAACUCUGGAACUGCCUUUGAUACUGGUAAUCUCGAGAUCGGAAGAGGUGAGUGGAAUUCCCCAGUGUAGAGGUGAAAUUCGUAGAUAUUGGGAAGAACACCGGUGGCGAAGGCGGCUCACUGGUCCGAUACUGACGGCUGAGGUGCGAAAGCGUGGGGGAGCAAACAGG